UGUGGCUACUGUGGCACAGAGGAGAGAGGCUUUAUCUGUGCUUGGUGUUCCGACCUGUGGACAUCUGAGCGAUUACUAGCCUAACAUU
rnacentral:snoRNA from 1 species